rnacentral:rRNA from 1 species
UACGAAGGGGGGCUAGCGUUGCUCGGAAUCACUGGGCGUAAAGGGCGCGUAGGCGGCCAUUUAAGUCGGGGGGUGAAAGCCUGUGGCUCAACCACAGAAUUGCCUUCGAUACUGGAUGGCUUGAGACCGGAAGAGGUAAGUGGAACUGCGAGUGUAGAGGUGAAAUUCGUAGAUAUUCGCAAGAACACCAGUGGCGAAGGCGGCUUACUGGUCCGGAUCUGACGCUGAGGCG